rnacentral:tRNA from 1 species
AAUUUAUAUAGUUUAAAUAAAACCUUAUAUUUUCAUUAUAAAAAUAAACAUUUGUUUUAUAAAUU